GCCGCAAUUAAGGAGGAGAACGUG
rnacentral:siRNA from 1 species